UUUCUCUUCACAUUUACAUGUAGUAAGGACGUGUCGCUUACCGUUGAAAACGCGAAUUGUUUGUUGCCUCUUCUCUUUCUUUCCUCUCUCCCUCUUCUCCUUUUCUCUUCUCAUCCUCUCUCUUUCCUUUCUUUCUUUGAAACACCCAAGAAACCUAUGAGCACCGCCACCUGAGCGGCGUUCUCUUCAUACCCGAAAGGGAGAGGAAAAGAGAGAACAUUUCAAUAAUAAUAAUAUUUAAUUAAUUAACUUUGAUUCUUGAAGACGGUGAGCGACGAUGGAUCGGAAGAACUUGGUGGCGGUCUUAAUGGGGGUUAUGGUGUUUGCUGAAUUGGGUUUUGUGUCGGGGAAUUUGGUUUUUAAUGUACAACAUAAAUUUGCUGGCAGAGAACGCAGCCUUAGUGCAUUGAAAGCCCAUGAUGCUCGCCGUCACAGAAGAAUUCUAUCUGAAGUUGAUAUCGAUCUUCACUUAGGUGGCAAUGGUCAUCCUGCUGAAGCUGGCCUUUAUUUUGCUAAAAUCGGGCUUGGGAAUCCAUCAAAGGACUACUAUGUGCAAGUUGAUACUGGAAGUGACAUCCUAUGGGUGAAUUGUGCCAAUUGUGAUAGAUGUCCCACGAAAAGCGACCUCGGUGUGAAGUUGACAUUAUAUGAUCCAACUAGUUCUGAUUCUUCAUCAAGGGUUUAUUGUGAUGAUGAAUUUUGUGCUGCUACAUACGGAGGUGUGCUUCAAGGUUGCACAAAAGACUUGCCCUGCCAAUACAGUGUAGUUUAUGGUGAUGGAAGCGCAACAGCUGGAUACUAUGUGAAGGACACUGUGGUACUCGAUCAAGUGACUGGAAAUCUUGAAACCUCACCGACAAAUGGAAGUGUUAUUUUUGGUUGUGGAGCUAAACAAUCUGGGGAGCUGGGGACAUCCAGUGAAGCAUUGGAUGGAAUACUUGGUUUUGGGCAAGCAAACUCAUCCAUGAUUUCACAACUUGCUGCAGCUGGAAAUAUUAAAAGAAUGUUUGCACAUUGCCUGGAUAAUAUACAUGGAGGUGGAAUCUUUGCCAUUGGAGAAGUGGUCUCACCAAAAGUAAAUACGACUCCGAUGGUACCAAAUCAGCCGCAUUACAAUGUUGUUAUGAAGGAAAUAGAGGUGGGCGAUAAUGUUCUGGAUCUUCCAACUGAUAUAUUUGAUACUGGAGAUCGAAGAGGAACAAUAAUUGACAGUGGUACUACCUUGGCAUAUCUUCCAGAGGUGGUCUAUGAGUCGAUGAUGACUAAGAUUCUGGCUCAGCAACCUGGAAUAAAAUUGCAUACAGUUGAGGAGCAGUUUAUGUGCUUUCAGUACAGUGGAAAGGUUGAUUCUGGAUUCCCAACUGUCAAGUUUCAUUUUGAAGGUUCUCUUAGUCUGACAGUUUAUCCUCAUGACUAUCUGUUCGAAAUUCGUGAUGAAGUUUGGUGUUUUGGUUGGCAAAACAGUGGGAUGCAAUCUAAGGAUGGUAGAGAUAUGACUCUUUUGGGAGAUUUGGUGCUUUCAAAUAAGCUUGUUUUGUAUGAUCUUGAAAACCAGGCCAUUGGAUGGGCAGACCAUAACUGCUCUUCAGCCAUCAAAGUGAAGGAUCAAGCUUCUGGUUCAGUGUACUCUGUUGGGGCUCACAAUAUCUCGUCGGCUUCCUGUGUAAUAAGUGGACGAAUUGUAACAUUUUUGUUACUAGUGUUUGCAAUAAUCCAUACAUUUUCAUAAUCUGCAAACAAGUGGUACAACAUUAUUUGAUUUACUUGUACCAUAAUGUAACCAGAGAACUCUGCUUGUUAAUGGGACAUCAGCUGGUACAGUUAUGGAUCAACCGCAGAGUUGGUGAAAUAAAUGAAGAUAGAAAGAGAAAGAAGUGAAAAGAAUUAUCUACUUCUGUUCAAUAUUGGGAAACAUUUUCCAAAGAAAAAACCUUACUGUGGUUUGAGUGCAGUAUUUGUAUUGGUGGUACGAUACACUAUACAAUAUAGAUUGUAGCAAUAUUAAACUACAAUUGUUGAUAGAUAGAUUAAUGAUGGCAAGACAAUAUGUGCAA